GAGAUCAGCGAUCGAGAAAGUGAUCCAGAGCGCCAAGCCAUUUCUUAACACGCUCAGUCAGUGGCCAGGAAACGAAGGUAGGCCGGGUGUGAGGGUUUUGCGAAGGGUUUAUGCCUGGGGCCUAAUCUAUCCAUACUAUACUAUAUCUUGAAGCACGUGACUUCCGCAUGGUUGUCCAAGUCCUCGGUCCAGCUCCGAUAUUACUGCUCUCUCUCUCUCUCUCUCUCUCUCUCUCUCUCUCUUAUUGCAUAGAAGCCAAAAUACACCCUCUGCCCCAAAUACUCUGCUUGCAAAGACAGAGGGCAGCACCUACCCCUCUUGCGAUUUUUUCGUCCUUCCUCUACCCUAAGACAAAUCGCAGCCCCGUACCUGCUCCACCAUUCAGACUCUCAAAUCAAAUCCAACCGAGCAUAGCUAACCUCACACACAAUUGCCAGUAUGGUGCUCUUGCUGCUAUUUGCCUGCUCCCAAAUUCAACUCUGUAUUUUUCGUCGAUGGUUUUCAAAUUUGGGUUCGGUGGCAAGCAGUGAAAGACAAGUGAAAUGAGCGGGUAACGACAGCGAGCGGCGGUGGCUGGUCUCUUUCGCGUGUCGUCUUGACGCGUGUCGUUCGGCACGUGAGCCUGUAGGAGCUAGUACUGUUCGGCCGGGUGGUAUGACGUCCAUCCGCAAUUCGCCUGUUCUGAUUUCCUGCUCGGUUGGAUUUGUGAGCUGUUGCUGUCAAUCGCAUGUUUAGGAGCUAAUUCGACUCCUUAUUUCUCUUUGGAGGUUGUCAAAUUUCAUUGGGGACUAGCUUUGACUAUAAGGGUUUCAUGGUUUCUCAUCUCUCAAUGGAUUCGUUCUGAAUAACGAGUUUGCAUCUGUUCUGGCGUUCAGGAGCUGUGGAGUCCGAGUCUUGCUUCCUUCUUAUUCAGCUAAAGAAGAAGAUGCUGACAGUCACACCACCGCGUGCUUUUAAUCCUUUGACACAACCAUUUGCCCAUUUAUCACGGGGAAGUGCAGGAAGCAAGUACAGAUCCUUCAUCGUGCUCUGAACAAGCAUUUCUGAAAUCGCCGCUGAAAAACUGGCAACAAAAAUUGCACAAUGAGAUCUGUCGAGCCAGAAUUGAAAUUUUUUUUUUUUUUUUUUUUGGGUGCUGCUUAUUUUGUAAAAAGGUAUUAAAAACUUUAUCAACUGCUUCAGUGGAAGUAGACUAUUCAUGCUUAAACCUGCUGAUCAAAGUAAAUAAAUAAACCAGCAUACACCUGAAAAGACAA